UACGUAGGGUGCAAGCGUUAAUCGGAAUUACUGGGCGUAAAGCGUGCGCAGGCGGUUGUGCAAGACAGAUGUGAAAUCCCCGGGCUCAACCUGGGAACUGCAUUUGUGACUGCACGGCUGGAGUGCGGCAGAGGGGGAUGGAAUUCCGCGUGUAGCAGUGAAAUGCGUAGAUAUGCGGAGGAACACCGAUGGCGAAGGCAAUCCCCUGGGCCUGCACUGACGCUCAUGCACGAAGCGUGGGGAGCAAACAGG
rnacentral:rRNA from 1 species